rnacentral:rRNA from 1 species
UGGAAUUGCUAGUAAUGGCAGGUCAGCAUACUGCCGUGAAUACGUUCCCGGGCCUUGUACACACCGCCCGUCACACCAUGAGAGUUGGAAAUACCCGAAGCCUGUGAGCUAACAGUAAUGAGGCAGCAGUCGAAGGUAGAGCCAAUGAUUGGGGUGAAGUCGUAACAAGGUAUC